UACGUAGGGUGCAAGCGUUAAUCGGAAUUACUGGGCGUAAAGCGUGCGCAGGCGGCUAUGCAAGACAGAUGUGAAAUCCCCGGGCUUAACCUGGGAACUGCAUUUGUGACUGCAUGGCUAGAGUGCGGCAGAGGGGGAUGGAAUUCCGCGUGUAGCAGUGAAAUGCGUAGAUAUGCGGAGGAACACCGAUGGCGAAGGCAAUCCCCUGGGCCUGCACUGACGCCUCGAGACGAAAGCGUGGGGAGCAAACAGG
rnacentral:rRNA from 1 species